rnacentral:rRNA from 1 species
CGAAUGCUGACAUAAGUAACGAUAAAGCGGGUGAAAAGCCCGCUCGCCGGAAGACCAAGGGUUCCUGUCCAACGUUAAUCGGGGCAGGGUGAGUCGACCCCUAAGGCGAGGCCGAAAGGCGUAGUCGAUGGGAAACAGGUUAAUAUUCCUGUACUUGGUGUUACUGCGAAGGGGGGACGGAGAAGGCUAUGUUGGCCGGGCGACGGUUGUCCCGGUUUAAGCGUGUAGGCUGGUUUUCCAGGCAAAUCCGGAAAAUCAAGGCUGAGGCGUGAUGACGAGGCACUACGGUGCUGAAGCAACAAAUGCCCUGCUUCCAGGAAAAGCCUCUAAG